CAGGUGGUUGGUCUCAGAUGAUCUUUGGUUCUGCAGGUGAACAUGCUGGAUGUGGAGGUCCUGGGCUGGUGUGGUCACACAUGGCCUUCGGUUGUGAGGCCGGUGGAUGUACUACCAAAUUCUCUGAAACGUCUUUGGAGAUGACUUAUGGCAGAGAAACAAACCUUCAAUUCACAGGCAACAGCUCUGGUGGACAUUCCUGCAGUCAGCAAGACA